AAAAUCCAUAAGCAACAAAUUAAUUUAGUGAGGCCUAGGCAAGAUGAAUCAACAAAUUGAUAAUUUCUUGUGACAUUGCAUCUGUUGCUAGGUGAUGUCUUGAGGUAUAAUAAACCAAAACCUGUUCAACUUAUUAAAAUUGGCAAAAGUUGAAUGAUAUAUGUGGGAAGUAAGAGCCAGGUUUGAAAGGAGUAUGAUCCAUAAGGCC
rnacentral:lncRNA from 1 species